rnacentral:rRNA from 1 species
AUACGUAGGGGGCGAGCGUUGUCCGGAAUGAUUGGGCGUAAAGGGCGCGUAGGCGGCGCGGUAAGUCUGGAGUGAAAGUCCUGCUUUCAAGGUGGGAAUUGCUUUGGAUACUGCCGCGCUUGAGUGCAGGAGAGGUUAUCGGAAUUCCCGGUGUAGCGGUGAAAUGCGUAGAGAUCGGGAGGAACACCAGUGGCGAUGGCGGGUAACUGGACUGCAACUGACGCUGAGGCGCGAAAGUGUGGGGAGCAAACAGGAUUAGAUACCCUGGUAGUCCACACUGUAAACGAUGAAUGCUAGGUGUAAGAGGUAUCGACCCCUUUUGUGCCGGAGUCAACACAAUAAGCAUUCCGCCUGGGGAGUACGGCCGCAAGGUUGAAACUCAAAGGAAUUGACGGGG